CACACAUUUUCUGAACCGCUUGUCCCAUACGGGGUCGCAGGGAACCGGAGCCUACCUGGCAACACGGCAUAAGGCCGGAGGGGGAGGGGACACACCCAGGACGGGACGCCAGUCCGCCGCAAGGCACCCCAAGCGGGACUCGAACCCCAGACCCACCAGAGAGCAGGACCCGGUCCAACCCAUUGCGCCACCGCGCCCCCCUUGUGGAAAAACAAUGGUUGCGCCGAACUGGAGGGGGACGGGACACACCCAGGAUAGGACGCCAGUCCAUCACAAGGCACCCCAAGCGGGACUCGAACCCCGGACCUACCGGAGAGCAGGACCUGGCCAAGCCGCUGUGCCACCACACCCCCUCUCGUACGCCAAAGGACGGUAGAUACAGGAAUAUGGGAUUGUGGAAAGAAGAUUGUGCAUAAUCCAUCCUGGUGGACUUCACUUUUAUAAGACAGUUCAGUGACAUCACCUAUGGACUCCACCCUGUGAACUAGAUGACCACCAGCCACUCCUUGUCAUAUACACCCGAUUUGUCUCGAAGGAGCAUCUUCAUCAAGGCAGGCCUUUUUGAGAGCUCCAGAAGCAAAACCGGCCCCGGCCACGGCGAAGAGGUCGAUCCUGUUCAUCUCUCGCCCCGCAAGACCCCAUCUUCUCCUUCACCUGCACCAAAGAAAACGUUGGGGCUGCGAGACUCCGGCGGCAGCUACUUUGCCAGCAGCACCAAGGAAACACGCAAACGAACCACAAAGCACACGGCAGGCAGCAGCAAGAGCCAGGCUGGAAGCUCCGUACACGCAGAGACGAGAUUUGCCGCUUCCCUCCCGUCGUCAUCGUCGUUUUUGUUUUCUUGAUUUGUUUUGUUUUGUUUUCUUCCCAGGGAUUGUAUUUUGUUUUGUCUCUGCCGGCUGGCGAACGAGGAUGCGGUGGCACGAGCCUCUCUCGCCGUGCGACGCUGCGGAGCGCCCCCCCCUUCCCAUCCCGUGUCAUACGAGAAGCCGCAUAAAGGCGCACGGCUGCCUGGUUGAAUUGGUCAACUGGUAUAGUGCAAAAGAUGAGGAAAACAGAAGAAGACGAAAAAUAAAAUGCUCAAACGAAGUGUACUCUCUCGCUCU
rnacentral:lncRNA from 1 species